CUAAAGUGAUUUUAUUUUUUAAAGUGUUUUUAUUUUAUAAUUAAAAGGGGGAUGUUUUGUUUGUUGUUUUGGCCUUGGAGACCCUGAAGCUUAAAGCUUCCCUGUGCAUGUUUAUUGUGACUUAGUUUUUAUGUUGAACUAUCAAUUAAACUAUCUUUUUUUCGACUGAAUCCAACUGCUCCAGAUAUUUUAUUUUGUGUUACAUCCAGUGCCAGUAUUUACCCUUGGUGGU